rnacentral:tRNA from 1 species
GCCAACUUAGCUCAGCUGGUAGAGCAGCGCAUUCGUAACGCGCAGGUCAUCGGUUCAAAUCCGAUAGUUGGCU